GGUGAGAUGUCUGAGAGGUUGAAAGAGCAUGCUUGGAAAGCAUGUAUACAUUUAUCAUGUAUCAAGGGUUCGAAUCCCUUUCUCACCGCCA
rnacentral:tRNA from 1 species